GUGAAAUGAUGAUGAAGUUUAUCCAUUCUCGGAGUGUUGCUGCUCUGCCCUUCCUGCCACAUCUGGAUUCCUGUUCUAGGGUCCUGAUGCUGUGUGGUCUCCAGACAGCCUCUGGCCUUGCAGUGUUCUGCUGAGGGCGAGGGGGCUGUUUGGCUGGCUUCUGGCUGGGCCUGGGCAGAGUGAGCAGGCCAGGGUCCCUUCCCGAGGGACUCUGACUCCGCCAAGAAGAAUGAAACUUUCUGAUCAC